GAUCUUGUAUUGGUUUAAGUCCUUUGCAUGAUUUAGGAAGCAACCUAUCCUUAAUGCAAAGCCAUUCACUUGAUCAAUUGAUCAAUAUGAAUUAGAUUUGAAUCAAGGAAGAUUAAGCCUCCCUAAUUAAUGCUAACUUAUCAACCUUUAACUCAUUGAUCAAAAGGAAAAGGAGAAGAAGAAGAAGAAGAUGGAUAAUGGAAAUAAAAGGAAUAAGGUUCAUUAAAUGAAAUGGAA
rnacentral:lncRNA from 1 species